rnacentral:rRNA from 1 species
UACGUAGGGUGCGAGCGUUGUCCGGAAUUAUUGGGCGUAAAGGGCUCGUAGGCGGUCUGUCGCGUCGGGAGUGAAAACUCAGGGCUUAACCCUGAGCCUGCUUCCGAUACGGGCAGACUAGAGGUAUGCAGGGGAGAACGGAAUUCCUGGUGUAGCGGUGGAAUGCGCAGAUAUCAGGAGGAACACCGGUGGCGAAGGCGGUUCUCUGGGCCUAC